GAUGAACGCUGGCGGCGUGCUUAACACAUGCAAGUCGAACGGUGAAGGCGGAGCUUGCUCUGCUGGAUCAGUGGCGAACGGGUGAGUAACACGUGAGCAAUCUGCCCCUGACUCUGGGAUAAGCGCUGGAAACGGCGUCUAAUACUGGAUACGAGCUGCGAAGGCAUCUUCAGCAGCUGGAAAGAAUUUCGGUCAGGGAUGAGCUCGCGGCCUAUCAGCUUGUUGGUGAGGUAAUGGCUCACCAAGGCGUCGACGGGUAGCCGGCCUGAGAGGGUGACCGGCCACACUGGGACUGAGACACGGCCCAGACUCCCACGGGAGGCAGCAGUGGGGAAUAUUGCACAAUGGGCGAAAGCCUGAUGCAGCAACGCCGCGUGAGGGACGACGGCCUUCGGGUUGUAAACCUCUUUUAGCAGGGAAGAAGCGAAAGUGACGGUACCUGCAGAAAAAGCGCCGGCUAACUACGUG
rnacentral:rRNA from 1 species